GCUGAACUAGCUCCCAAAUGGACACAUAUUCCAAAAUAACCUGCACCGAACAACAUUAAAGAGGCAUAGGGCGAUCAGCUCAAGGGAGGACCCGUUCAGCCAAAUUAUCUGUCCUGAAGAGAGCUCUUCUCCCAUCUCCCACCUGCACUGUGACGGAAGCGUGAAACAUAGCAGGGCAAAGCUCAUCAGAUGGUCCAGGUAUGGAUGCGGACUUGAUGAUAUUUCUGAAGGAGAACAAAUACAAAUAGAUCUUAGAUCGAGCCCUUAAAAAGUUUUGAAGAUUACGAAGUAUAAAGGUU